rnacentral:rRNA from 1 species
ACGAACGCUGGCGGCGUGCUUAACCCAUGCACGUCGAACGGAAAGGCCCCUUUGGGGGUACUCGAGUGGCGAACGGGUGAGUAACACGUGAGUAACCUGCCCUUGACUUCGGGAUAACUUCAGGAAACUGGGGCUAAUACCGGAUAGGAAUCCUUGCUGCAUGGUGGGGGUUGGAAAGCUUCGGCGGUUUUGGAUGGACUCGCGGCUUAUCAGCUUGUUGGUGGGGUAGUGGCUUACCAAGGCUUUGACGGGUAGCCGGCCUGAGAGGGCGACCGGCCACAUUGGGACUGAGAUACGGCCCAGACUCCUACGGGAGGCAGCAGUGGGGAAUAUUGCACAAUGGGCGGAAGCCUGAUGCAGCAACGCCGCGUGCGGGAUGACGGCCUUCGGGUUGUAAACCGCUUUCAGCAGGGGCGAAGCUUGUGGUGACGGUACCUGCAGAAGAAGCACCGGCUAACUACGUG